GGAUUAGAUACCCUGGUAGUCCUUGCCGUAAACGAUGCAUACUAGGCGUAAUCGGUCUCAACCCCGAUUUUGCCGUAGCUAACGCGUUAAGUAUGCCGCCUGGGGAGUACGCUCGCAAGGGUAAAACUCAAAAGAAUUGACGGGGACCCGCACAAGCAGUGGAGCAUGUGGUUUAAUUCGAUGCAACGCGAAGAACCUUACCCAGACUUGACAUCUAGAGGACAGCUUCAGAGAUGAAGUUUCUCUUAUGAGUCUCUAGACAGGUGCUGCAUGGCUGUCGUCAGCUCGUGCCG
rnacentral:rRNA from 1 species